rnacentral:tRNA from 1 species
GCCCGGCUGUCCGAGUGGUUUAUGGAGGCGGUCUUGAAAACCGUUGACGGGGAUGACCCGUCCGAGGGUUCGAAUCCUUCGCCGGGCG